rnacentral:rRNA from 1 species
GACGAACGCUGGCGGCGUGCCUAAUACAUGCAAGUCGAGCGAAGUUUUUCUGGUGCUUGCACUAGAAAAACUUAGCGGCGAACGGGUGAGUAACACGUAAAGAACCUGCCUCAUAGACUGGGACAACUAUUGGAAACGAUAGCUAAUACCGGAUAACAGUAUUUCUCGCAUGAGAGAUAUUUAAAAGUUGGUUAUGCUAACACUAUGAGAUGGCUUUGCGGUGCAUUAGCUAGUUGGUGGGGUAAAGGCCCACCAAGGCGACGAUGCAUAGCCGACCUGAGAGGGGGAUUGGGCACACUGGGACUGAGACACGGCCCAGACUCCUACGGGAGGCAGCAGUAGGGAAUCUUCCGCAAUGGGCGAAAGCCUGACGGAGCAACGCCGCGUGAGUGAAGAAGGAUUUCGGUUCGUAAAGCUCUGUUGUUAGGGAAGAAUGGAUAUGUAGUAACUAUACAUGUAAGAGACGGUACCUAACCAGAAAGCCACGGCUAACUACGUG